rfam:Picea glauca, whole genome shotgun sequence.
GUGUACAUGCCUACAAUGUUAAUGCACUGGAUCCCAUCAGAACUCUAUAGUUAAGAACACUUUGGCUACAAUCGUACUGGGAUGGGUGACCUCCCGAGAAGUCCUAGUUUUUUACAUU